GCGCUCGUAACACAACGGAUAGUGUGCAGGCCUGCGAAGCCUGAUAUUCAGGUUCGAUUCCUGACGAGCGCA
rnacentral:tRNA from 1 species